GUUUGCUGUCCCUUUUUCACGGUUUUCCCUGGUUUCUCCGUCUGUUCUAUGUGCAUGAUCAGAACAGAACAAUCACCUCUGGCCUGAGGGUGCACCGCGUGGACCACCUCUUCUGCUGCAGUUUUUCCCCAGCUUAACUUCCUCCCUGACCACAUGGCUCAAGGGAAGUUCAGGUAUACGGCGUGUGGUUGGUUCCCUUCGGCAUGCGCCAGGAGAAGGGAACCAAUGGCGGGCCCUCCGUCUGUCCUGCGGUGUAUUAAGAGACAACCUGACCUGGGUCGGCGUGGUGCCGCGAGGGUCGCCGUGGGAGACGUCAGGAGGGGAGAGGAGAGUUGAGGUACUGAAGACUUACCGCCGGACUGGAGUGUCCCAAAGUUUAAACAAUUCAGCCAUUUGGCCGGUGCUUCUUUAAGAUACACGUCAUCACUGAGCAG
ensembl:lncRNA